rnacentral:rRNA from 1 species
UAACAAGGUUUCCGUAGGUGAACCUGCGGAAGGAUCAUUGAUGAUAUAUGGCUAUGCGAUUGACUGUGAACGUGUGCGCAAGUAGUCGUCGACUUCGCUGCCGAUGUUUUGUCGCAAUUUCUGCUUACAAAACAAACGUACCGAUUUUCGAUGCGGUCGGUUUAGAUGUUACCUCUGGCUUAUUAUGCCUCCGGGAAAACUAACCACCGACAGACUUAUGGGGCGCAGAUGGCGCCAAGGGAUGUACAUUUAAGAUGGGCCUUGUUCAUCUUAGAGCAACAUAGCGAACGACUCACGACAACGGAUAUCUUGGUUCUCGCAUCGAUGAAGAACGUAGCGAAAUGCGAUACGUGAUGUGAAUUGCAGAAUCCCGUGAACCAUCGAAUCUUUGAACGCGAGUUGCGCCUGAGGUAAUUCUACCGAUGGCAUGCCUGGCUGGGUGCUGUGAAACUCGUCGUUCCUACCCCUCCUUUGGGGAUUGAACGGAGAUUGGCCUUCCGUCGGGCGUCCUGCGGCUUGCCUUAGUGUUUGAUAACUCAAAGCUGUGACAUCGAACGUUCGUCGGUUGUUGGUUUAUCCGACAUCUUGCUGCGUCGCAAUGUGUCGAGUCUUUGGGUUCCCUAAAAUAAUGUGUCAACUACUACUAACAUGUGGGUUUUGUCCAUCGGACUCACCCCAGUUCAGGUGAGAACACCCGCCGAAUUUAAGCAUAUCAAUAA